GGGCAUGGGGCCUGGAAACGGUUACUGAAGAAGUCCAGGUUCUUAGGUCUUGUCUCCUAGACUGCCAGUUUGAAACCUGCCAUGGAGUCAGCCUGUCUCAACCUGAAGUCUUCGUCCCAUAAGGCAUCUGCAGCCAGUGACUGUCAUCUGGAUCCCAGCUUCCUCACCGCCUUAUUCUGCUUCCACACUCUGCUGCUGGGAUCCUGCACACAUAGGACAACUUGAUGGUCUCUCUGGUUAACAGCCAGAUGGAUAAAUCCUCUUCACUUGGUCCUUUGUAGAGGGCAGCAGCUUACAAACGUGCACUAGAAAAGUCAAGAUUCUUAAACAUGAAGAAUUCUUUCUUCAACUGAAGAACUUCAUACCCAUUUUCCACCCACAAGGCUAGACAUUAAUGUGUGAAUACCUGAUAAUCUUUGCUAUCCUGUGGAGCUAGCCCUCACCAAAAGAAUCCUGAGCUUUGUUUCUCGGUCAAUACAACCCAUCCUUAUGAAUGAAGUCCCAAAUACUCCGGAAAAGACUUUGCAGUAUGCAUAUCACACCCCUCCUCCCAGAGCCCCUUCCUCCCUGAGCACCGUAUCUCAGACAGUAGAACCCAUUCUUGAAGGAAAGGUCGCAGGUGCUCUGCUAAAGAGAUGGACUUUGCAGAGGAUUUUGAUGUAAGCCGUGCCUAAAAUUUCAUUGUGAAGACUGUUACAUGGAAAUUUUUUUCUAAAGUUUUACUGUGUUUAAAUGUGUAGAAAAUAAAGCACUUGGCAUCAGGCUCCAGAAA
rnacentral:sRNA from 1 species